rnacentral:rRNA from 1 species
CCUACGGGUGGCAGCAGUGGGGAAUAUUGCACAAUGGGGGAAACCCUGAUGCAGCGACGCCGCGUGAGUGAAGAAGUAAUUCGUUACGUAAAGCUCUAUCAGCAGGGAAGAAAAUGACGGUACCUGAGUAAGAAGCCCCGGCUAACUACGUGCCAGCAGCCGCGGUAAUACGUAGGGGGCAAGCGUUAUCCGGAUUUACUGGGCGUAAAGGGAGCGUAGACGGUGCGACAAGUCAGGAGUGAAAUGCCGCAGCUUAACUGUGGAACUGCUUUGGAAACUGGCGAACUAGAGUGCGGGAGGGGUAGGUGGAAUUCUUAGUGUAGGGGUGAAAUGCGUAGAGAUUAGGAGGAACACCGGUGGCGAAGGCGGCUUACUGGACCGUAACUGACGCUGAGGCGCGAAAGCGUGGGGAGCAAACAGGAUUAGAUACCCGUGUAGUC